CGGUUUUCUAGAAAAUUAAUAGGGAAUUCGUGGCGACAAACCUGUAGCUAAGCGAAACUGCCCCCGCAACUGUAUGCGAUACGCCGCAUUUCGAGAUCCACUGGGCUGAAGGGCCUGGGAAGGUGAAAUGAGGCUUAAGUCGUUAGUCAGGAGACCUGCCGACAU
rnacentral:ncRNA from 1 species